CCUGAGGGUUCUAGAGUAGCUCUAACUUGUCAAUAUUUCAACCUGAGCCCACUGUGUGAAUCCAGGAGAUGCUCCUCAUAUACUGGAGACAAGGAUUUCUUACAGGAUAUCAUGAGCCAGACUAGAUAUGAAGAGAGGGAUCUGCAAGG